rnacentral:rRNA from 1 species
GGCUUACGUGGUGCCAGCAGCCGCGGGAAUACGAAGGGUGCAAACGUUGGUCGGAAGUAUUGGGCGUAAAGGGCACGUAGGCGGCUUUGCAAGUCGGAUGUGAAAUCCCUCGGCUUAACCAAGGAAGUGCAGCCGAAACUGCAGAGCUUGAGUACGAAAGAGGAUCGCGGAAUUCCCGGUGUAGAGGUGAAAUUCGUAGAUAUCGGGAGGAACACCAGUGGCGAAGGCGGCGAUCUGGGUCGAUACUGACGCUGAGGUGCGAAAGCGUGGGGAGCAAACAGGAUUAGAUACCCCUGUAUC